rnacentral:rRNA from 1 species
CACGUAGGGGGCAAGCGUUGUCCGGAUUUAUUGGGCGUAAAGAGCGUGUAGGCGGCCAGGUAGGUCUGCUGUGAAAACUCGAGGCUUAACCUCGAGCUGUCGGCGGAAACCAUCUGGCUAGAGUCCGGAAGAGGAGAAUGGAAUUCCCGGUGUAGCGGUGAAAUGCGCAGAUAUCGGGAAGAACACCCGUGGCGAAGGCGGUUCUCUGGGACGGUACUGACGCUGAGACGCGAAAGCGUGGGGAGCGAACAGG